rnacentral:lncRNA from 1 species
CUGAGGCAAGAGGAUCCCUUGAACUCAGGAGUUUGAGACCAGCCUGGGCAACAAAGUGAGAUCCUAUCUCUACAAUAAAAUUUAAAAAUCAGCUGGGUGUAGUGGUGUGUGCCUGUAGUCGCAGCUACUCAGACGGCUGAGGUGAAAGGGUCCUUUGAGCCUGGGAGUUCAAAGGUGCAGAGAGCCGUGAAUACAACACUGCACUCUAGCCUGGGCGACAAGCGAGAUUCUGUCUCAAAAGAAAAAGGAAAAUAAAAGGAUCUUUUGAGUCAUCAGCACUGAGAAACAUUAUCAUGAAAUUUCAGAACAUUUAGAAUUAGAGCUUGGGUUAAGCAUGGAGUAGAGUGAAGGAUCAAAACGGAUCAUGUAGACAAAAAUUGGGAGUCAGAGAUACUGCCCCUCAGCAGCAACUUCUAGCUCAUUUGGAAGCUAAAAGAUAAUGGAAUGUUCAGUGGAAGGUGAGGGACAAUGGCACAUGAGAGAAAGUGAUUUUCAACCUGAAGUUUUAUGCCCAGCCUAAUUAUUAAUCAAGUGCAAAGGCACCACUGAUAUAUUUUGAACUUAGAGUCUCAAAAUUCAUAUCCCAUACUCCCUCUCUCAGAAAGCUGUGGGAGGACAUGUACUGUAUUAUAAUCCAUGAAUAAGCCAGAAAGGAAUUCAUAGUGUCAGAAAACAGGACAGCCAACACAGCAAAGUAAAAGGAAUUCCAGGAUAAUUGCAAAUGUCUCAGGAUGAUACCUUAUAUCUGACCUAGAAAACAACCAGUCCAGAAUGGAGUAUGAGGACAGAAAAUUGAUAUAGAACUCUUGAAGGGGGAAAACUAAACUGAUAUAUGUUGUGUUCGAGCAUAUUGGAAGCAGAUAUGUAACAGAGGGAGUUUAAAGAUGAAUUAGUAAUAGAAGAUUAAGUGCAUUAAAAAAUGAGGCAAUUACA